GGGUGAGUAACGCGUAUCCAACCUGCCCACCACUUGGGGAUAACCUUGCGAAAGUAAGACUAAUACCCAAUGAUAUCUCUAGAAGACAUCUGAAAGAGAUUAAAGAUUUAUCGGUGAUGGAUGGGGAUGCGUCUGAUUAGCUUGUUGGCGGGGUAACGGCCCACCAAGGCGACGAUCAGUAGGGGUUCUGAGAGGAAGGUCCCCCACAUUGGAACUGAGACACGGUCCAAACUCCUACGGGAGGCAGCAGUGAGAAAUAUUGGUCAAUGGGCGAGAGCCUGAACCAGCCAAGUAGCGUGCAGGAUGACGGCCCUAUGGGUUGUAAACUGCUUUUAUAAGGGAAUAAAGUGAGUCUCGUGGGACUUUUUGCAUGUACCUUAUGAAUAAGGACCGGCUAAUUCCGUGCCAGCAGCCGCGGUAAUACGGAAGGUCCGGGCGUUAUCCGGAUUUAUUGGGUUUAAAGGGAGCGUAGGCCGGAGAUUAAGCGUGUUGUGAAAUGUAGAUGCUCAACAUCUGAACUGCAGCGCGAACUGGUUUCCUUGAGUACGCACAAAGUGGGCGGAAUUCGUGGUGUAGCGGUGAAAUGCUUAGAUAUCACGAAGAACUCCGAUUGCGAAGGCAGCUCACUGGAGCGCAACUGACGCUGAAGCUCGAAAGUGCGGGUAUCGAACAGGAUUAGAUACCCUGGUAGUC
rnacentral:rRNA from 1 species